CCUACGGGGGGCAGCAGUAGGGAAUAUUGCUCAAUGGGGGAAACCCUGAAGCAGCAACGCCGCGUGGAGGAUGAAGGUUUUAGGAUUGUAAACUCCUUUUGUUAGAGAAGAUUAUGACGGUAUCUAACGAAUAAGCACCGGCUAAAUCCGGGCCAGCAGCCGCGGUAAUACGGAGGGGUCAAGCGUUACUCGGAAUCACUGGGCGUAAAGCGUGCGUAGGCGGGGUAAUAAGUCAGAUGUGAAAUCCUGUAGCUUAACUACAGAACUGCAUUUGAAACUGUUACUCUUGAGUGUGGGAGAGGUAGGUGGAAUUCGUGGUGGAGGGGUAAAAUGCGUAGAGAUCAAGAGGAAUACUCAUGGCGAAGGCGACCUGCUGGAACAUUACUGACGCUGAUGCACGAAAGCGUGGGGAGCAAACAGGAUUAGAUACCCUAGUAGUC
rnacentral:rRNA from 1 species